ACAAACAAUCAAGGCAUGUGUGUAGCUCUUGUUUUGACAUGCAGCUGGCUGAUCGGGACUGAUUUGGCACCUUCAAUAGCAUUGCGUACACCAUGGACAAUUCCAGCCUCUAAAAAGCCUGGGUUGAAGCAGCUUUUCCCAUGUCAUGAAGAAGAGAAUCACAGGAUCACAGGAUGAUUGAGGAAUCUCUACAGAUUGUCUAGUUCAACUCCCCCCGCUCAAGCCUUUCCAUGACUUGUCUCAAUAGAUUGACCAGGGCAGCUACAGAGACCAUACUAUUGGGUUUCUAUGGAUCCUGAAAACUCCUGAAUUCUGAGCCUGAGCCCUGGCUGUGAGGUUUCUGAAGUUUAUUCCAAAUGCUGCAGAGUGUAUAUGUAUAGUUCAGGAUUGCCUAGUGAUACACGUAUGCACACAGUCCUCUAAACACAGUCAUCUGGGAGUAUCUAUGUAUAGACAGAUAUUUCUAGAUAGAAAUAUAGACACAUAUAUUUAUAUUUCUGGCACAGAUAUAUGUAAAUAUGCAUAUUUAGAAAUUCAAUGGAUUACAGUGACUGUACUACUAAAAUAUAUUGAAGAUCUAAAUGGGAAGUCAUCACUGAAACAAGAGAAAGGCAGUACAUAAAUCAUCCCUUAAAGCAUGUUAGAGGAGUAUGCCAUCUCCAACUCUGUACUUAAAAAAAAUUCCAACCUUUAAACUAUCCUUUUCUUGUAGAUCAAGAUAUGAUAAAAUGACAUCUGUUUUGUGCAUCAUAACUCUUGCCCAAUCAGCAUUUACAGUUAUAGAGAAUGUAUAUAUUUAUCAAAUCCUGGGCAGAACGUGCAAAAUUCUUUUCACAUUCAAUAGCAUGGUGUCUUUGACUUUUUGUUUUCAACAAUCAUUCUGUACAAGCUGAGCAUGAAGGACUUAGGCUAUGAUUCAACUCCCCUUCAUUUUAUGUUUGCAGUGUAUAGUGGAGAAUCAAACUGAAUGAUUCUACAUACUAAAUCAUUCAGUAUUUCACUCUGUGGCACUCUGAUGGCCUAAAGAAAAUAUGCGUGUUUCUUGGGACUCACUUUAUUUGAAAGUAAAUAAUACUUCCUAAAGGAAGACAUAUUUAUGACUAGAAAAAGAAGACAGUGGC